AAAUGCUGUGUUUGCAAGAAAAAUGGUGCUUCAAUUGGAUGUGUUGCACCCCGAUGUAAACGAAGUUAUCAUUUCCCAUGUGGACUUCAGAGAGAAUGUAUUUUCCAGUUUACUGGCAAUUUUGCGUCAUUUUGUUGGGACCAUCGACCUGUUCAAAUAAUUACAUCUAAUAAUUAUAGAGAGUCCUUACCAUGCACCAUUUGCUUGGAAUUUAUUGAGCCUAUUCCAAGUUAUAACAUAUUACGAAGUCCUUGUUGUAAGAACGCUUGGUUUCAUAGAGACUGUUUACAGGUUCAAGCAAUAAAUGCGGGAGUGUUUUUCUUUAGGUGUACAAUAUGCAAUAAUAGUGACAUCUUUCAGAAAGAGAUGUUGAGAAUGGGAAUUCAUAUUCCUGAAAAGCCAGGCAUGGUGGCUCACGCCUGUAAUCCCUCCCCUCACUUUGGGAGGCCGAGGCGGGCAGAUCACCCAAGGUCAGGAGUUCAAGACCAGCCUUGCCAACAUGGCGAAACCCUGUCUCUACUAAAAAAUACAAAAACCAGCCGGGCAUGGUGGCAGGCCCCUGUAAUCCCAGCUACUUGGGAGGCUGA
rnacentral:lncRNA from 10 species